rnacentral:misc_RNA from 1 species
UAUUUAUUGAAAAACAUUUUCAAUAAAUUUCAUUUUAUAUAUACAUUUUAAAAUUAUGUUGCGAAUGUCUUAAGGUUCAUUUUGUUAAAAUUCAUCAUUUAUUGAGCGGAAUUAAAACAGGAACCAUAUUAACUUUUACCGGGCCCAUUUAUUUUGGACAUCGGAUUAAGUACAACAUUUAUUUUAAAAGUACAAUAUAUAUGCAUGGCGCANUUUUAGGCAAAAGGGUUAAAAAAGCCUUCCGUCAAAUCCCUUUUUUAGUUAUGCACUUUCCAGCUUACCUUAAUAGCGCAUAAUGAUAUUUGCAUGUAUUAUUUGUGAUUUCAAAUUCAUAUCAUAUAUGAAUUGUUUCUUUCGGAUUGGAAACAUCUUUAAUGAUCCUUCCGCAGGUUCACCUACGGAAACCUUGUUACGACUUUUACUUCCUCUAAAUAAUCAAGUUC